rnacentral:rRNA from 1 species
UACGAAGGGUGCAAGCGUUAAUCGGAAUUACUGGGCGUAAAGCGUGCGUAGGCGGUUUCUUAAGUCCGUUGUGAAAGCCCUGGGCUCAACCUGGGAACUGCGAUGGAUACUGAGGAGCUGGAGUACGGUAGAGGAAGGUGGAAUUCCCGGUGUAGCGGUGAAAUGCGUAGAGAUUUGGAGGAACACCAGUGGCGAAGGCGACUGUCUGGUCUGUAACUGACACUGAGGCGCGAAAGCGUGGGGAGCAAACAGG